GCAUUGAGCCGUAAUUGAAUCAAGAGGGUGUUUAAUCGAGAGGAGGGAAGGGCUCAGUGCAGUGCGUUUAGAUGCUCAUUUAUGAGUGUGGUGAUAGUAAGUCUGGAAUAAUGGAUGUUGCCUGCAGUGUUUCUAAUGAACCCUCAGAACAAUAAGAUAUCCUCUGGGGAGAGAAGAAGAUUCUCACUGCAAGCCCUUUGUUGUAAACUAAAACAAAAGAAGUUCCCCCUCAGCAUGAGGAAGAACUUCUUGACAUGGAGAGUGGCAGAGAGCUGGGAUGGGCUGCCCAGGGAGGUCCUGGAUUCUCCCUCCUUAGAGACAUUCCAGACCUACAGGAACACGUUCUGUGUCACCUCCAUUUGACCCUGCCUUGGGAGGGGGUUUGGACUGGAUAAUUUCCUGAGAAUCCUUCCAACCCUAAUGAUUCUGUGAUUCCGUUUGUUUUAUUUACGGAGUUGCUGCCUUUCCCAGUGCCGCUGGCUGAGCUGUCACUGAUGAACAAGUUGAUCCACACGUCCCUGGUGGAGUCCCAGCAGCACGUGGAGAUCCUGCAGCGAGACCCCAGCUCCCCUCUCUUUUCCAUCAAGACCUUUGAGGAGCUGCCCCUGAAGAAGGAGCUCCUGCAGGGGGUUUAUAUGAUGGGCUUCAACAGACCAUCCAAAAUCCAGGAGCAGGCCCUGCCCCUCAUGCUGGCUUACCCGCCCCAAAAUCUGAUUGCCCAGAGCCAGUCAGGGACAGGGAAAACAGCAGCUUUUGUCUUGGCCAUGUUGAGCAGAGCCAUUGCCAGCGAGAAAUACCCGCAGUGCCUGUGCCUGGCUCCCACCUACGAGCUGGCCCUGCAGAUCGGGCAGGUGGUGCGCGCCAUUGGCAAGUUCUGCACGGACAUCAAGGUGAACUACGCUGUCCGGGGAAACCGAGUUCUGAAGGGCACAGUGCUGGAGGAGCAGAUCAUCAUCGGAACUCCGGGCACCACCCUGGACUGGUGCUUCAAACAACGCAUCCUGGACCUGACAAAGAUCUCCUUGUUCGUGCUGGAUGAGGCUGACAUCAUGAUCGACACGCAGGGCCUCUCCUGUCAGAGCAUCCGCAUCCACAGGGCUCUUCCCAAGAGCUGCCAAGUGCUGCUGUUCUCAGCCACUUACAAGGAGCCCGUGCGGGCCUUUGCCGAGCGGAUCAUCCCCGACCCCAUCGUGAUCAAGCUGCGGGAGGAGGAGCUCACCCUGAGCAACAUCAGGCAGUACUUCAUGGUGUGCCAGAGCUCAGACGAGCAGUACAAGGCCCUCUGCAACCUCUAUGGCAGCUUCACCAUCGGUCAGGUCAUGAUCUUCUGCCAGACCAGGAGGAUGGCAGACUGGCUGUCGGGGAAGAUGAGCCGGGACGGGCACCAAGUGGCCAUCCUGACAGCAGAGCUGACGGUGGUGCAGCGGGCCAGCGUCAUCCAGCGCUUCCGCGAGGGCAAGGAGAAGGUCCUGAUCGCCACCAACGUCUGUGCCAGAGGCAUUGAUGUGCAGCAGGUGACCACGGUGGUGAACUUUGGGCUGCCCAUGGAUCAGGACGGCGAGCCGGACUUUGAGACCUACCUGCACCGCAUCGGGCGGGCCGGGCGCUUCGGGCACCGCGGCAUCGCCUUCAGCGUGGUGCAGAGGGAGACCGUGCCCCUCGUGCACAAGAUUGAGGAGUAUUUCCGCAUUUUCUCUGCCUUUCCUUGCAAGCGCUUGUCACAGGGGACCUGGUGCCCCAGCUCAGCUCAGCCCUGGCUGUGGGAGAGGAGAUGGCAGCUGUGGAAAUCUUUCCUGAGUGGAAAUUGAUUGUAACUUGCUAACAUCAAGAGGAUUUUCAUGGGAUUUGCCAGAUGCCAGGGCUGCACUGAUGGUUUUUUGAAUCCCAGCGCCUGUUAUCCCUGUGGUUUUUAGAGGAAAGAAGGUUUUAGAAGCCUUCUGAUGGGCAGGAAACUGUGUCCAUUCCACAUCUCCAGCCUCAGAGCCACUCAGCCUCUUGGUUCCUUCAAAUGUCCACCUGUCCUUGGAGCCUGGAGUGAGCCUGAGGCAGACACCAGGCAGAGGAGGCACCAGCCACACAUUCUGGCAGAGAUUGUUGCUGUGGAGUAGAAGCAGUGAACAGCUGGAACAGCUGGCUUGUGGAUGAGCCCAACCACAGCCACGGGCAGCAGGAGCCAGUAGACCACGAUCAAGCAGCUGGAUCCCUACGACAUGGACGAGCUGGAGAAGCUUGCAGCUGAGUGAGGAGCAGG